UGAUCAUGGCUCAGAUUGAACGCUGGCGGCAGGCUUAACACAUGCAAGUCGAGCGGAGAGAGGUAGCUUGCUACUGAUCUUAGCGGCGGACGGGUGAGUAAUACUUAGGAAUCUGGCUAUUAGUGGGGGACAACAUUUCGAAAGGGAUGCUAAUACCGCAUACGUCCUACGGGAGAAAGCAGGGGAUCUUCGGACCUUGCGCUAAUAGAUGAGCCUAAGUCGGAUUAGCUAGUUGGUGGGGUAAAGGCCUACCAAGGCGACGAUCUGUAGCGGGUCUGAGAGGAUGAUCCGCCACACUGGGACUGAGACACGGCCCAGACUCCUACGGGAGGCAGCAGUGGGGAAUAUUGGACAAUGGGGGGAACCCUGAUCCAGCCAUGCCGCGUGUGUGAAGAAGGCCUUAUGGUUGUAAAGCACUUUAAGCGAGGAGGAGGGUACUGGUAUUAAUACUACCAGGUACUGGACGUUACUCGCAGAAUAAGCACCGGCUAACUCUGUGCCAGCAGCCGCGGUAAUACAGAGGGUGCGAGCGUUAAUCGGAUUUACUGGGCGUAAAGCGUGCGUGGGCGGCUAAUUGAGUCGGAUGUGAAAUC
rnacentral:rRNA from 1 species